AACAAACGCUGGCGGCGUGCCUAAUACAUGCAAGUCGAACGGGGAAAGCUUUCGGGUGAGUACUAGUGGCGCACGGGUGAGUAACGCGUGGAUAAUCUGCCUUAGAGUGGGGGAUAACUAGUCGAAAGAUUAGCUAAUACCGCAUAAGACCACAAGAACUGCGGUUCAAGGGGUCAAAGGUUUUUCGCUCUAAGAUGAGUCCGCGUAAGAUUAGCUAGUUGGUAGGGUAACGGCCUACCAAGGCGACGAUCUUUAACUGGGCGGAGAGGAUGAUCAGUCACACUGGAACUGAGACACGGUCCAGACUCCUACGGGAGGCAGCAGUAGGGAAUAUUGCACAAUGGAGGAAACUCUGAUGCAGCGACGCCGCGUGAGUGAUGAAGGCCUUCGGGUCGUAAAGCUCUGUCGCAGGGGAAUAACACAAUGAAGGUACCCUGUAAGAAAGGAUCGGCUAACUUCGUGCCAGCAGCCGCCGUAAUAC
rnacentral:rRNA from 1 species